CAUAUAAUAGCUUAAGUUAAAGCAUUAAACUUUUAAUUUAGAGAUAAGAGAUUCUUUUAUAUGG
rnacentral:tRNA from 1 species